rnacentral:rRNA from 1 species
UUGAAAGGGAAACGAUUGAAGUCAGUCAUACCAACGGGAAAUCAACCUUUUGAGUUUGUUCUUGUGGGUUUCGAGGAGUUUAAAAGCCUUCUGAUGCUAGGAUUGGGCUCUUAAGGUGUACUUUCUCGUACGGUUAGUCAACAUCGGUUGGAAUGUCAUUAAUUGACUGGAGGAAUGUGGCUUCGAUCUCGCAUCGAAGUGUUAUAACCUUCGGUAGAUGUGAUGUUCGAGACCGAGGAUUGCAACGGAUACCUUACUGGCCUAGGCGUCUGAUCUCUGAUACGUUGCCUUGAUGUCGAAAGCGUGCUUAUGAUGUUAGGGUAUUACGGUCAAAAGGUUAGAACGGAUUAAAUUCGUUAAGGAUGUUGACGUA